ACGGAAGGCAGCAGUGGGGAAUAUUGCACAAUGGGGGAAACCCUGAUGCAGCGACGCCGCGUGAAGGAAGAAGUAUCUCGGUAUGUAAACUUCUAUCAGCAGGGAAGAAAAUGACGGUACCUGACUAAGAAGCCCCGGCUAACUACGUGCCAGCAGCCGCGGUAAUACGUAGGGGGCAAGCGUUAUCCGGAUUUACUGGGUGUAAAGGGAGCGUAGACGGAAUUGCAAGUCUGAUGUGAAAGGCAUGGGCUCAACCUGUGGACUGCAUUGGAAACUGUGAUUCUUGAGUGCCGGAGGGGUAAGCGGAAUUCCUGGUGUAGCGGUGAAAUGCGUAGAUAUCAGGAGGAACACCGGUGGCGAAGGCGGCUUACUGGACUGCAACUGACGUUGAGGCUCGAAGGCGUGGGGAGCAAACAGGAUUAGAUACCCUGGUA
rnacentral:rRNA from 1 species